GAAAAUAUUUUUGGUUCCUAUUCGGUUCGGUUUGUAGUAUAAUAAUCGAACCAAUAACCCGAAAAAAACCGACAAAACCGAAGAACCAAAUAUUCUUUUACGAAAGAAAAAAAAAACAAAAAGUAACCAAAAACCUGAAAAAUCCCCAAUAUAACCGAACAUUCUACAAAGACAAAAAAUAAACCAGAAUAAUCCAAAACAAAGUACAAGUAGAAAUGCAGAAUCAUUCAAAUUUCAAAGAAUAGUAGUUCAAGAAACAUAAGUUUCAAACAUACGAUCCAAACAUAAGUUUUUGAAUCAGCGACUCAGCUUCUGGAUCGGAGAAUUUCUGGGGUGGCUGUAGAGGAUGGAUUUAACCAUCCCUCAAGGCCCGAAGAACAGACGGCCUGGCCCGCGGAACAUUACGACAGGUCGGCUUGACGGAUCGGGACGCCGACUCCUCAGCUGGACCUGAGAGUGCUUUUGGUCGACCGAGCGUCGAUUAGGCGCAUACAGCUUAACGGCUUACCGAAGCGACGUUGGCUUCUCAGCCCAACGAGUUAAAAGCCACAAAAACGACGCGAACUAGGUCACAAAAGGACACCAAGUCAACUAUAAAAGGAGAGAGGGAUGCGACGUAAAGAGGAUCUGAAAUCCCUCACACAUACUCAGCGGCUAGAUUAGGGUUUUACCUUUACUCUCUCGCCGUACUGUAUUUUUCCGGCAAAGCUCUUCGAGCUCCGGUUUCCUUUCUUUUACGCAUCUCCUUUCCUUGUAACCGAUUCAAAAUUUUUCCGACCAUCUAUAAGACGUCUUUUCUUAACCCACAUCUAAAACCAAACGUCUCACCGUUUAGUACCGUUUCCCGAUCAAGCAGUUGGCGCCCACCGUGGGGCAACUAGCAAAGUAACGUCAACAAGAUGGCGACGAGCAACGACGGCUCUUCCUCUAGAGAAGAGCGUGAAGCUCCCGAAACGAUGCCUACACCCUUUCCUUCGACUCUGGCGCCGUUACCACCCGCGUCCAUAGAAACUAUCAUGGUGCGCCUCGCACAGCAGGACGCAGCCCAGAAGGCGGCGACCGACCAAAUCGCGGCGCUCGCGAAAAUCCUAGCCCCUCUCGCAGCGAACGUGGAAGCCUCAACGGCACAGUACCGACGACAUCUGUUUAAUACAAAUCGAGUGACCGGUGCGAUGCCGGCGCAUGCUGAAGACCAAGAUAUCAACGACGGCGAUACGGCUCAAACCCCUGGAGGUCUUGACGCCCAGACCAUAAAUGAACUCGCCGCGUUAAAGCAAUCGGUGCUCGAUAUCAACUCUAAGAUCCACAAUGUAACGACGUCCGCUCCACAAAUCGAGCGUGUCCUUGCAAAAUCUCUCCGGAAGCCGUUUACUAGAAAAAAUAAUGGGGACUCGACUCCGAAAGAUGGAGAAGCUCCGUCUUCUGACCUUCGAUGGCAUUUCUGACCCUUCUGCCCACGUCACAUCCUUCAAAAUUGCGAUGCGACGCGCAAAUCUCUCCAACGGAGAGAAAGACGCCGGCUUUUGUCAGCUUGUCGUCAAAGCCCUAGAAGGGCCUGCCCUCAACUGGUUCACCAGCCUCCAGGAGAACUCCGUCAACAGCUUUUGCGACCUCUCGACGGCUUUCCUCAAGAACUAUAUCAUGUUUACUCGUCAGGAAGCCACCGCCACCGAUCUCUGGAAUCUCAGUCACGCUACCAGGCCUAGCCUCAGGGAUUUCAUGGAGAAGUUUAAAUCUGUCGUCUUGAAGGUCGACGUACCAGACCACAUAGCUGUGGAAUCGUUGAUGAACGCCCUCCAUAUCAAAUCACUGUCACUAGCCGACCUUUAUCGGCAUCCGACGAGAUCCGUGCCAGACGCUAUCAUCCGAUCCAACAACUUCAUACAUAUGGAAGAAGACACCAUGGCGAAGGCGGUAAAAGAAGCGGCGGGGAAACAAACGCCCGCCCAAACAAAACAACACCCGUUAAGAACCUCGCCAGCAUUCAGCGGGCGGAUGACCCAACCAGAAAAGGGGUUACAUGAACGUCGUGGAUGAAGAAGAGCCCUCGGGUUCCGCGGUUAACGUGCGGGAGAAGGGAUGGAAUCACUGGGACCAAGACUCCGCGCAGAAGUCAUCCGGCUCCUCCUAACCAACGAGCUCAAACGCUGGCUUAACAAGUGGUGCUCGUAUUCGCCGGCAUCGCACCGGUUGCUCGAUCUGUAUUAAACAGAUGUCGUCGGUACUGCGCCGUUGAGGCUUCCACGUUCGCAGCGAGAGGGGCUAGGAUUUUCGCGAGCGCCCCGAUUUGGUCGGUCGCCGCCUUCUGGGCUGCGUCCUGCUGCGCGAGGUGCACCAUGAUAGUUUCUAUGGACGCGGGUGGUAACGGCGCCAGAGUCGAAGGAAAGGGUGUAGGCAUCGUUUCGGGAGCUUCACGCUCUUCUCUAGAGGAAGAGCCGUCGUUGCUCGUCGCUAUCUUGUUGACGUUACUUUGCUAGUUGCCCCACGGUGGGCGCCAACUGUUUGAUCGGGAAACGGUACUAAACGGUGAGACGUUUGGUUUUAGAUGUGGGUUAAGCAAAGACGUCUUAUAGAUGGUCGGAAAAUUUUUGAAUCGGUUACAAGGAAAGGAGAUGCGUAAAAGAAAGGAAACCGGAGCUCGAAGAGCUUUGCUGGAAAAAUACAGUACGGCGAGAGAGUAAAGGUAAAACCCUAAUCUAGCCGCCAAGUAUGUGUGAGGGAUUUCGGAUCCUCUUUACGUCGCAUCCCUCUCUCCUUUUAUAGUUGACUUGGUGUCCUUUUGUGACCUAGCUCGCGUCGUUUUUGUGGCUUUUAACUCGUUGGGCUGAGAAGCCAAUGUCGCUUCGGUAAGCCGUUAAGCUGUAUGCGCCUAAUCGACGCUCGGUCGACCAAAAGCACUCUCAGGUCCAGCUGAGGAGUCGGCGUCCCGAGCCGUCAAGCCGACCUGUCGUAAUGUUCCGCGGGCCAGGCCGUCUGUUCUUCGGGCCUUGAGGGAUGGUUAAAUCCAUCCUCUACAGCCACCCCAGAAAUUCUCCGAUCCAGAACCUGAGUCGCUGAUUCUAAAAUGAAAUAUUCGUUCGGGUUAGAAGUCUCUAGUGGCGCUCUUGCGGUGUUUCUUUAAGUAUCUCUUAUUCCUUCUGGUAGUCCUUUAUCUCCCUCUCUCUGCUCUGUAUCUUCAAAAUUGCUUUGAUAUAUCAAAAUUUUACAUGUUUGUUCGUAUAGAUUUGAAGAUGAAACUGGUUAAUCUACAGAAGGAGACCAGGAAACUCAAAAAGGUAAUGAAACCAAAUUUAAUUUUUUAGGUAUUCAAAAUUUGGGGGUUUAUCUUACCGUUUUUAAGAAGAUAUUGAUCUUCUUGUGUUGUCUUUGUUGUGUUGCUAUUGAAUCUGUUGGGAAGCAUAUUCCAAUGGCCUUCGUGGAGAGAGUUAAAGAGGAUUUCCAUGGUAUGGUGGAAAGGCUACCAAUGUACACCCAACAGCAUGAACAAAGAGUUUGGAUACUUCUGGCUCUCUACCAUCAAAUUCAGAAGGUUAGAGUCAUAUAUCCAUGUCAAUCUCAGAAUUCGAAACUUAAAAUGUGUACUUUUGAUGGUUUUAAUUCUUGAUAUCCUACUGUUUACUCGCAGCAAACCAGGGGAAGAAAGGCCUGGAGGAAGCUGUUCCUGGAUCUUAGUGACUCUAAAUGCUGAGAAGGUAGUAAAUCGUUUGACUGCACAUGCCUAUAUUUCCAUAAUUUCUUGAUGUUCAUGAUUGUUGACACAUUAUAGUUAACAUGUAUGCUUUUCCUUAGAUAAUUCUUUUCUUUUUUUUUUGGGUUUGCUGUAACAAUCAAGACGUGGCUGCUUUGAGAUUUGUGAGGAAGGCGGUGAAAUCAUUUUCAGUCUUUUGCACAAUUUGUUUGAUGAUACACUACACAACUGGAACCACAGCUCCACCAACAGCCACAUCAAGAAGCAGAUGAUGGAGUGGUGUGGAGGAGAUCACACGACUUGUCAUGACUAUGGUUCUUCUUGUUCAGAUUCUUCUGCUUCUUUCUUUCCUUCCUUGUUUGAGCUCUAAUUGUUUAUGCUUUGUGUUGAUUGUAGAAGGAGGACAGAUGAGACAGAGAGAAUACAUAUGCGGUUGAUGAAUUUUGUGAUGUUGCAGGAAUUGAUGAAGCAGUUGACAAACUUUAAGAGGUAUCUUUUGGCCAAAUUACUAAGUUCAAAUUCUAGUUUUUGCUCUCAUAUUGUGUGUCUGUGUAUUUUGUUAGGUGGUGUUUUCUACUUGAAUUGGGAUGUACUACUUGGUGAAGCUCGGAGGCGAUGUGGAGGAGUUCGGUAAAGCUCGGAGGCGCGGAGGUUCAAUCACUGAAGACACGUAAUGGAAUCACCACUAGUGGUAAAUCUUAACAUCACAGCAUAUAGUUACAGAGAUCAUGAUGCUUUGAAAAGUCUUAAUUGCUUUCUUCUUUAUCUAAACCAGAAAAUGGUGAUUGUGGGAACCGAAAUUCGCACUGUCGAUUUCCGUUUAAAUUAGGAAAAUUAGGAAAACCCUAAUUUCCCAGAGGUCCCGGAUAUCUGUUAAACCACACGCUAAGCAAUCAGAAAAUGCAACUAAAGACGAAAAG